AAGGUUUCCGUAGGUGAACCUGCGGAAGGAUCAUUGUCGAAACCUGCAAAGCAGACCCGCGAACACGUGUUUAAUCCCCGGGCGUCGAGCCGGGGCCGGACUUCGGUCCCUCCCCGUCGAGACGCCCUGCCUUCGGGCUAACGAACCCCGGCGCGGCACGCGCCAAGGAAAACUGGUGAUAAGCGUCGCGCCCCCGCUGCCCCGUUCGCGGGUGCCUGCGGGGGAUGAUCGGCCUAUCUUGAAAGUCAAAACGACUCUCGGCAACGGAUAUCUCGGCUCUCGCAUCGAUGAAGAACGUAGCGAAAUGCGAUACUUGGUGUGAAUUGCAGAAUCCCGUGAACCAUCGAGUCUUUGAACGCAAGUUGCGCCCGAAGCCAUUAGGCCGAGGGCACGUCUGCCUGGGCGUCACGCAUCGCGUCGCCCCCUCCCUCUCCGGGACGGGGCGGAGAGUGGCCUCCCGUGCGCAAGUGCGCGCGGCCGGCCCAAAUCUGAUCCCGCGUCGACGGAUGUCGCGACAAGUGGUGGUUGAACUCUCAACUCGCGUGCUGUCGCGACUGGCUCCUUCGAACGCUCGGGCAUCGUUUUGACCCAACGGCGCCUAAUCGCGCUUUCGACCGCGACCUCAGGUCAGGCGGGACUC
rnacentral:rRNA from 1 species